rnacentral:sRNA from 1 species
AUCAGUCUCAUCCUGUGGAUUGCCCAGCGCCAGGGAUCAGGAUCCGGAGAGGUGUCCAGGAGGAGCAGACCCUCAGACCAGAAUUCGACACCAAAUUUUGGAACUUAAAAAGAAGAUUCUUAAAACUUACAAUCCAGCCCAGGGCUUCCCAGCUGUCUUCAUCCAGGCCUGCGUGGGUGUUCACAGUGGUCCUCAUCUAAGCCAGCCAAGAAGAUCCCUGUCAUCCUCGUGACAGCCAGCCCAGAUGUCCCUAGCCGUCCUCAUCAAGGCCAGCCAGUUUGCUUACACGUGUGCUAAUUGGAGCCAGCCACCCUCAUAGAGGCCAUCCCAGGUACCGACAGCCAUCCACGCUGGGCCCAGCCCAGGUGUCCACACCUGUCCCCAUUGAGCCUAGCCCUGGUGUUCAUGGCUUUUGUCACAGGACUUCUCCCAGUUGUUUCCAGCAGUUUCCAUGGUCCCAGGCCAUGGUUUCACAGACAUCCUCAAUGGGGACAGCCCAUCUGUUCACCGUUGUCUUAAUUAGGCCCAGUGCAGAUGUUCACACGUGUCUUCCUUUGGCUCAGCCAAAAUGAACAGAACUCCUGAGCGCAUACCAGCGGUUUCUAGCUGUCCACAUUGGGGCCAGCCCAGGUGUUCGUAGCCCUACGUUCUGGGCCCAUCCCAGUUAUUCCAAGCUGUCCUCUUGGGCCUAGCCCAGGUGUCCACAGCCAU